rnacentral:rRNA from 1 species
GGGAUGACACAGUAGGAUAAGCUAAGCACACUGUUGGUUAUGUGUGCCCAAGCAUUGAGGCAGUCAGAGUAGGUAAAUCCGCUUUGAUAAUGCUGGGAUGUGAUGGGGAGCGAAAUUUAGUAGCGAAGUAGCUGAUUUCACACUGUCAAGAAAAGUCUCUAUCGAGGUUAAAGGUACCCGUACCGCAAACCGACACAGGUGGGUGAGGAGAGUAUCCUAAGGCCCGCGAGAGAACUGUUGUUAAGGAACUCGGCAAAAU